rnacentral:rRNA from 1 species
AAUAGCUUCUUUGGUGGUGACCUACUACAUGGAUAACCGUAGUAAUUCUAGAGCUAAUACAUGCGUAAAUCUCGACUCACGAAGAGACGUAUUUAUUAGAUAAAGACCGACCUCGUUCUGCGGUGAAUCAUAAUAACUUCACGGACCGCAUGGCUUUAUGCCGGCGGUGUUCCAUUCAAAUUUCUGCCCUAUCAACUUUCGACGGUAGGAUAGAGGCCUACCGUGGUGUUCACGGGUGACGGAGAAUUAGGGUUCGAUUCCGGAGAGGGAACCUGAGAAACGGCUACCACA